rnacentral:sRNA from 1 species
GCCGCGCCUGGUGGCGGGCGCCUGUAGUCCCAGCUACUCGGGAAGCUGAGGCAGGAGAAUGUCGAGAACCCGGGAGGCAGAGCUUGCAGUGAGGCGAGAUAGCAUCACUGCAGUCCAGCCUGGGCGAAAGAGUGAGACUCCAUCUCAAAAAAAAAAAAAAAAUUUUAUUGAUAUAUAUAUUUUUUGAGACAGAGUUUUGCUCUAGUUGCCCAGGCUGGAGUGUAAUGGCACGAUCUCGGCUCACUGCAAAAUCCGCCUCCUGGGUUCAAGUGAUUCUCCUGCCUCA